rnacentral:lncRNA from 1 species
GGUGGUUAGAGCUAUAGGCAGUGAGCUGAGGCAGGAAUCAGAUGGCUUUACCCAUGGAGAUUUUUGUUGCUGGCUAAUUUGCUACAUAUUCUUAGAACUGGUUUGAUUAAGAAAAAAAGCUGUUGGUGUGGUGACUGGAAGUCUAACAACAAUCACCACAAUAGAUAUCUGCAGCCCUGAAACCAAUUUUCAGGCUUGAAUUUCUUUUACUUUUCUUCUUUCUUUCUUAUUGUGUGUCUCCAAGUCCUGAGUCUACUGGGGUUAUGUAGAAAAAAAGUUUUAAACAUUUUUUUGGGAAAUAAUUGCAAAGUUACAGCUAAAUUAUAAGAAAAAAAGAAGAGUUCUACACUUUGGGAGGCCGAGGCGGGUGGAUCAUGAGGUCAGGAGAUCGAGACCAUCCUGGCUAACAAGAUCUUACCUAUGUUCAAACUUUGAAGGGUAUUUUUAGAUCUAAGAGAUCUGGGUCUUUAAAGUCAGUCUUGGCCAGAAUCAGGCUGCAAAUGCCAAAGCAAGAGAUGUCAGCAAUGAGUUGCAGGUCUUUGCCAAACAGAGCAUCAUCUGGCAGUGAAAGGAGAGCAGAAGAGGGGAUUUUGAAGUCUUCCUGCACACUUCCGACAACUUGAUUGAACUGGACGCCCUUGGAAGUUCAUGGCAUCGCCUAUAACAGAGUCUGUGUAGGCAAAACCCCAGCCUAUGCUGGAAUUUAACUCUUAAAAAGCAACCUAAGUAGAACACAAGAUUGUAAACUCUAAGGAGAUUCUAACACCAAAAGAAAGUAUGACUUGAGCCAAUGAAAUGCCAAAAUCCAGUUCUAGCUGACAACGUCAGUAGUGGAGGACAGACUUCCACUUGCCAUUUGAGGAAAAAGCAUGUGGAUUCAUGAGCAUAACAGCAGAUACCCCACUACCAAUUACCAAAUCCUGUGCACAUUCCUGUUCUCCAGUCACCUUUUCUCCAUAAAUGUUUGUGGUAUAAAAUGAAAACCUUCCCAAAUAUUAACCAGUCAA